GAGCACAGUGGAGAUUAAUGUAUUAACUGCUACCUGUGAUCCGUCACCCGUCAGACUUGGCUCGGUGUCACGCGUCGUCGGGGGAGACGGGCGACCGUCUGGCGCAGAGAACAGAAGGAGGGACACCAAAAAGUUGACUGCGCCGCUUCGUUCCGUGCAUCAUGAUAAAGACUGAAUCACCCAGAAGAACGGUCCUGCAGCGGAGACAGAUGUUCCCCUCCCUGAUCCUUCCACAGACAAGAACUAGUCCGGUGGAAAAACCCUCCCAGUGGGAGGUCAAAGUUCACGAGUUCCAGACACCGUCGCCUGGACGGCUGCGAAUCAUCUCAGACCUUUUACUUGAUGCGGUGUGUUCAGGGCACUGCUGUAAUACAGAUUAGUGACUCCCCAUGAGCCUCCAGCUGUGCGCCGCACAAUAUUGCCAUGCGUGGUCGGCGCCGGCUGACCUUCCAAGAGCUGACGUGGGAAUAAAGACGAUGAAGACGACA
rnacentral:lncRNA from 1 species